GCACUCACUUCGGCAGCACAUGUUCUAAAAUUGGAACGAUGCAGAAGAUUAGCAAGGCCCCUGCACAAGGAUGAAACGCAAAUUCAUCAAGCGUUCCAUAUUUUU
rnacentral:snRNA from 1 species